CAAUAGCGUAUAUCUAAGUUGCUGCAGUUAAAAAGCUCGUAGUUGGAUUUCGGGUGGGAAUGGCCGGUCCGCCGUUUCGGUGUGCACUUGCUACGCCCACCUUGCUGCCGGGGACAUGCUCUUGAGUUCACGCUCGGGACACGGAGUCGGCGAGGUUACUUUGAGUAAAUUAGAGUGUUCAAAGCAGGCCUACGCUCUGAAUACAUUAGCAUGGAAUAACACGAUAGGACUCUGGCCUAUCUUGUUGGUCUGUAGGACCGGAGUAAUGAUUAAGAGGGACAGUCGGGGGCAUUCGUAUUUCAUUGUCAGAGGUGAAAUUCUUGGAUUUAUGAAAGACGAACUACUGCGAAAGCAUUUGCCAAGGAUGUUUUCAUUAA
rnacentral:rRNA from 1 species